GCAACAGUGGUCCAGUUGUAGUAUUCUUGCCUUCCACGCAAGAGACCUGGGUUUGACUCCUAGCCGAUGCA
rnacentral:tRNA from 1 species